rnacentral:rRNA from 3 species
GUAGUCCGGAUUGGAGUCUGCAACUCGACUCCAUGAAGUCGGAAUCGCUAGUAAUCGUGGAUCAGAAUGCCACGGUGAAUACGUUCCCGGGCCUUGUACACACCGCCCGUCACACCAUGGGAGUGGGUUGCAAAAGAAGUAGGUAGCUUAACCUUCGGGAGGGCGCUUACCACUUUGUGAUUCAUGACUGGGGUGAAGUCGUAACAAGGUAACCGUAGGGGAACCUGCGGUUGGAUCACCUCCUUACCUUAAAGAA